rnacentral:rRNA from 1 species
UACGUAGGGACCGAGCGUUGUCCGGAAUCAUUGGGCGUAAAGAGCGUGUAGGCGGCCAAUUAAGUCCUGCGUGAAAUCUCGGGGCUCAACCCCGAGCGGUCGUGGGAAACUGGUUGGCUAGAGUGCGGGAGAGGAGAGUGGAAUUCCUGGUGUAGCGGUGAAAUGCGCAGAUAUCAGGAAGAACACCCGUGGCGAAGGCGGCGACCUGGGUAGAUACUGACGCUGAGGUGCGAAAGCGUGGGGAGCAAACAGG